UGCGCGUGAGAAGUUCUGGCAGGCAGUUAGCUUCCAUGGGAGGCGGGUGGAGGGGGGACCGCCUUCGCCAUGACAGGUCAUUGGAGCCGUUAUAGGGGUGCCGAACCGCUUCGCUUCCGAAAAAGAGCCCGUUUACUCUGCUCAGGCUGCCAUUUUGUGUGGUAUCCGUUCUUCAUCCACUGUAUGUUGGCUGCCGCAUCCAAGUGCUCUGCUCUCAUCGCCGCCUGAAUCCCCGUUCAACCUGCUAGACUCGGAACGCUUCCAUGGAAUGGGCUAGCAACGAGGAUCCUGAAUCGCUAUCAUCGCAGCGAUGGACAAGGGAUAUAAGCAUCGUCCGGCUACUGCUCGCUUUGGCCACGCCACUAUCGUCGGAAUGGGGUACUCGCCGCUGGUGUAUUUGCAGCAUCAAGAGGCUUUGGCUGAUGAGUAUUCCUGGUCCAAGAAUUUUCUUGGCCCCAAAGAAUGUAGCUUUUCUUGCAAGUAUUCACACCAAAAACAUACCGAUGAAUACUGCAUGCUAAUGGCUUCCUGUCGCAAACUCGUCCCAGCGUAGCGAGCAAGAAUAGAAGUGUUGAAACCGUUGGUGCUAACGCUCCGCAUAAACAUUUUGAAAGGUUGGCGAACUCGAGUUUUGGAGUGUUUGAUUUUCCACUUGCUUCGCGUGAACUGGCUUUCCGCAUAGCUCAUGCACUUUUAGCACGAUGGCCUUCGCGCCCAAAUUGUUCAUAUUAAAAGCACGACAAAUCAUUAUAUACUUAUCCCUUGUCACCGGACAAAGGAUAAGCGCUAAAGUGCAUCACGACGGCCGCAUCAAACUCGCGACUUAUAACGUUGAGUUAAGGACUAGUAUUUGAGUGUCUAGAUGAAAUGUGUUAACGUGAGAGCCAUGUCCUGGUACUGGGGAGUUUCCAGAACUUCUCAUCAUUGUAACAUUCAUUAGAAACAAUUUAUCUUUGUAAAGGGGCCCGGCAUGCAGUAGUGAACAAAGACAUAUGAUAUUUUGCAUUUGGUUCCUGUUGGCUAAACUACUCAGAAGGUUGGUGCUGCGUUAUGCCAGACCGCUAGCCUAGGGCAAUGGCAUCUUGAACACAUGCUGCCUUGCUACGAUAUUGCCAUCGUAUAGCUCACCCACGGUGAACACAACUUCCGUAUUAAAAAAUAUGUAUCGCAAGUAAACCGUAUAUAUCAACCAGCAUGUCAGAAUACGUGCGCGCUUGGGAGAAACAUUUUGGUGAUAGUUGGAGAGGUUAGCCGAGCAAGAUGCUAAGCAUGCUACUACAGGUUCAAUAUAUAAGAGACGAAAUGACGAGAGAAAAGCAAAAAAAAAAAAGAAGUCGUGAGCCAUUCCACUCUGUGAAGGUGGAUGACAAGCGAAUAUGUUACGUAAGCGACAAAAAGGUGACACAGAAUCUCGAACAAAGCUACGAGGAUAUUAGUUGUCUUGAUCGGUGGUCACCGUGAC